UGACGUCAAAUCAGCACGGCCCUUACGUCCAGGGCUACACACGUGCUACAAUGGCCGAUACAGAGGGCAGCUACCUGGUGACAGGAUGCAAAUCUCCAAAAGUCGGUCUCAGUUCGGAUCGGAGUCUGCAACCCGACUCCGUGAAGUUGGAUUCGCUAGUAAUCGCGCAUCAGCCAUGGCGCGGUGAAUACGUUCCCGGGCCUU
rnacentral:rRNA from 1 species